rfam:Triticum aestivum genome assembly, contig: Triticum_aestivum_CS42_TGACv1_scaffold_249700_3DL
AAUAUACUCCCUCCCUCCGGAAAUACUUGUCGGAGAAAUGGAUGUAUCUAGAUCUAUUUUAGUUCUAGAUACAUCCAUUUGUCCGACAAGUAUUUCUGUGCGGAGGGAGUACAUU